ensembl:lncRNA
AUUUACUUAUGCUUGUCUUUUUCAAUUAACUGCAGCUUUAUCAAGAAAUUGGUUUCCUGUAUAAAUGUGUUCAACUGAGCCGUCAUUUUCGAGAACAUUUUGGACACAUUACAUCCAGCGUGCUACGGCUUGCUCAAGGGAAAUCCCCUUUAGCAAAGCUGCACAAAGAAGCUAGAGAAGAAUCUCUCAUUGAAGACCAUCUUGGAAUUGAUUUUAAAGCAGCACUUCUCGUGUUGCCAGCCUUGUUCAGAGAAAAACUUGAACAUUUCAUUGUGCUUGGAGAGAGUGAACCAUCUUCACCAUAUCAUACUGUUCAAGUAGAGGAGACCACUGACUGGAAAACUGUGUUUACAAGAAGAGUCACUGCAGUCAUCAGAGUUGAUGGGAUCGAGAUAGACGAACGGUGUGGAUGAAGGGGCUCUUGCAGCAUUUUGUGCUUAUUUCGUCUUCAAUUUGACAUAUCCAUCCCAUUUGAAGAACACCCUGGUGUUUCUUCAGUGGUAUGUUUUGAGAGUUACUGUGGAUGGUGACAAGCCUCUACCUACCCCAGUUACCAGAAUAAUCAACCUUCUUAACUCAACAUUCUUAACAUAGACACAGACUGGUUAUUGUGUGGCAAGCUUUUAAUUCCUGGGGUUUUUUUGUCGUCAUUUUUACUCAUACUGUGUGAAAUGAGAAUGAAUGGACUGUCCUCUUGCCAGGUGAAGAGGUUGAUUACCAGGCAUUAGACACAUACCACGUUGAUGACAAGUUAUUUAUUAGCACUAGAUACACUUGCUGAAGACAAACCGCUGCAAACGUCAAAAUGUGCAGUACUUGAUGUAGCCUGUGUAAUAAGGCUGUUUUACUUGUUUGAGUUUUUCAUUGAAGAGCUAGUUUUUUCUUGACAUGCUUGCUGUUGUGAGAUGUAAUGAAAUCUUUUUAAAAGAACAUUUCUAAAUAAAAUUGUCUAUUUGUUAGCCA